rnacentral:rRNA from 1 species
ACGGGAGGCAGCAGUAGGGAAUAUUGCACAAUGGAGGAAACUCUGAUGCAGCGAUGCCGCGUGAGUGAAGAAGGCCUUUGGGUUGUAAAGCUCUUUCGUCGGGGAAGAAAAUGACGGUACCCGAAUAAGAAGGUCCGGCUAACUUCGUGCCAGCAGCCGCGGUAAUACGAAGGGACCUAGCGUAGUUCGGAAUUACUGGGCUUAAAGAGUUCGUAGGUGGUUAAAAAAGUUGGUUGUGAAAUCCCGAAGCUUAACUUCGGAACUGCAAUCAAAACUUUUUAGCUAGAGUAUGAUAGAGGAAAGCAGAAUUUCUAGUGUAGAGGUGAAAUUCGUAGAUAUUAGAAAGAAUACCAAUUGCGAAGGCAGCUUUCUGGAUCAUUACUGACGCUGAGGAACGAAAGCAUGGGUAGCGAAGAGGAUUAGAUACCCUCGUAGUCCAUGCCGUAAACGAUGUGUGUUAGACGUUGGAAAUUUAUUUUCAGUGUCGCAGCGAAAGCAGUAAACACACCGCCUGGGGAGUACGACCGCAAGGUUAAAACUCAAAUGAAUUGACGG